rnacentral:rRNA from 1 species
AACGAACGCUGGCGGCGUGCCUAACACAUGCAAGUCGAACGUGAUCCGCCCUUCGGGGUGGUGAAAGUGGCGCACGGGUGAGUAACGCGUGGAUAAUCUGCCCGAGGAUUUGGGAUAACAUCUCGAAAGGGGUGCUAAUACCGAAUAAGCCCACGGGGUCUACGGAUCUUGCGGGAAAAGGGGGGGACCUUCGGGCCUCCUGUCCUUGGAUGAGUCUGCGUACCAUUAGCUAGUUGGUGGGGUAAUGGCCUACCAAGGCGACGAUGGUUAGCUGGUCUGAGAGGAUGAUCAGCCACACUGGAACUGAGACACGGUCCAGACUCCUACGGGAGGCAGCAGUGGGGAAUUUUGCGCAAUGGGGGAAACCCUGACGCAGCAACGCCGCGUGGGUGAUGAAGGCCUUCGGGUCGUAAAGCUCUGUCUGGAGGGAAGAAAUGAUUGGGAGCUAAUACCUCUUGAUCUUGACGGUACCUCUGAAGGAAGCACCGGCUAACUCCGUGCCAGCAGCCGCGGUAAUACGGAGGGUGCAAGCGUUGUUCGGAAUUAUUGGGCGUAAAGCGCGUGUAGGCGGUCUUUUAAGUCUGAUGUGAAAGCCCCGGGCUCAACCUGGGAAGUGCAUUGGAAACUGGGAGGCUUGAGUACGGGAGAGGAGAGUGGAAUUCCUAGUGUAGGAGUGAAAUCCGUAGAUAUUAGGAGGAACACCGGUGGCGAAGGCGGCUCUCUGGACCGAUACUGACGCUGAGACGCGAAAGCGUGGGUAGCAAACAGGAUUAGAUACCCUGGUAGUCCACGCCGUAAACGAUGAGUACUAGGUGUUGCGGGUAUUGACCCCUGCAGUGCCGUAGCUAACGCAUUAAGUACUCCGCCUGGGAAGUACGGUCGCAAGACUAAAACUCAAAGGAAUUGACGGGGGCCCGCACA